AGAUAAAAUGUUUCGACUGUUUACGCUUGGGAUAAUUCUAUUUGCUGGACCUGGUCAAUCAUCUUUACAUAAAAGUCGACGGAGGUUAGAUAUGCCAAUCCAUCUCAAUCUAACGAGAUCCCUUGAACCUUCAGGACCUCCAGAACCUCUAGGACCUUCUGAUCUUUUUGGACCAUCUGGACCUCCAGGAUCCUCUGAAUUUCCUAUCUUUGAUAAUUCAAGUUCAGAAAUACAAUCCAGCCAUUCAAGGAAU